GACAUAGGUGGCGAACGUUAUCCGGAUUUAUUGGGCGUAAAGGAUGCGUAGAUGGUGGAAUAAGUUAUUGGUCAAAGUCAAGCUCAACUUGGCGGAAGCUGGUAAUACUAUUCUACUCGAGGAUAGGAGAGGUUGGCGGAAUUCUGUGUGGAGCGGUGAAAUGCGUAGAUAUUGGGAGGAACACCAGUGGCGAAAGGCGGCUCACUGGACCGGAACUGACGCUGAGGCG
rnacentral:rRNA from 1 species